GAUGAACGCUGGCGGCGUGCCUCAAACAUGCAAGUCGAGCGGGGCUAUGUAAUAUCGCAAGGUAGAACAUAGCCUAGCGGCGAACGGGUGAGUAACACGUGGGUAACCUGCCUGGAAGACAGGGAUAACGAUUCGAAAGGGUCGCUAAUACCUGAUAAUAUCCUUUCAUCGCAUGGUGAUAGGAAGAAAGGGCUAGCCCGCUAUGAGAUGAGCCCGCGUCCCAUUAGCUUGUUGGUGGGGUAAUGGCCUACCAAGGCAACGAUGGGUAGCCGGCCUGAGAGGGUGUACGGCCACACUGGGACUGAGACACGGCCCAGACUCCUACGGGGGGCAGCAGUAGGGAAUUUUCGGCAAUGGGCGAAAGCCUGACCGAGCGACGCCGCGUGAGGGACGAAGGCCUUCGGGUUGUAAACCUCUGUCUGGGGGGAUGAGAACGGACGGUACCCCCGGAGGAAGCCCCGGCUAACUACGUG
rnacentral:rRNA from 1 species